rnacentral:rRNA from 1 species
AACGAACGCUGGCGGCGUGCCUAACACAUGCAAGUCGAACGAGAUCUUCGGGUCUAGUGGCGCACGGGUGCGUAACGCGUGGGAAUCUGCCCUUUGGUUCGGAAUAACAGUUGGAAACGACUGCUAAUACCGGAUGAUGACGAAAGUCCAAAGAUUUAUCGCCAGAGGAUGAGCCCGCGUAGGAUUAGCUAGUUGGUGUGGUAAAGGCGCACCAAGGCGACGAUCCUUAGCUGGUCUGAGUGGAUGAUCAGCCACACUGGGACUGAGACACGGCCCAGACUCCUACGUGAUGCAGCAGUGGGGAAUAUUGGACAAUGGUCGAAAGCCUGAACCAGCAAUGCCACGUGAGUGAUGAAGGCCUUAGGGUUGUAAAGCUCUUUUACCCGGGAUGAUAAUGACAGUACCGGGAGAAUAAGCUCCGGCUAACUCCGUGCCAGCCGCCGCGGUAA